rnacentral:rRNA from 1 species
CGCGGCCUAUCAGGUUGUUGGUGAGGUAAUGGCUCACCAAGCCUACGACGGGUAGCCGGCCUGAGAGGGUGACCGGCCACACUGGGACUGAGACACGGCCCAGACUCCUACGGGAGGCAGCAGUGGGGAAUAUUGCACAAUGGGCGCAAGCCUGAUGCAGCAACGCCGCGUGAGGGACGACGGCCUUCGGGUUGUAAACCUCUUUUAGCAGGGAAGAAGCGAGAGUGACGGUACCUGCAGAAAAAGCACCGGCUAACUACGUGCCAGCAGCCGCGGUAAUACGUAGGGUGCAAGCGUUAUCCGGAAUUAUUGGGCGUAAAGAGCUCGUAGGCGGUUGGUCGCGUCUGCUGUGAAAUCCCGAGGCUCAACCUCGGGUCUGCAGUGGGUACGGGCCAGCUAGAGUGCGGUAGGGGAGAAUGGAAUUCCUGGUGUAGCGGUGGAAUGCGCAGAUAUCAGGAGGAACACCGAUGGCGAAGGCAGUUCUCUGGGCCGUUACUGACGCUGAGGAGCGAAAGCGUGGGGAGCGAACAGGAUUAGAUACCCUGGUAGUCCACGCCGUAAACGUUGGGCGCUAGAUGUGGGGACCAUUCCACGGUUUCCGUGUCGCAGCUAACGCA